rnacentral:rRNA from 1 species
UGGGGAAUAUUGCACAAUGGGGGCAACCCUGAUGCAGCAACGCCGCGUGAGUGAUGACGGCCUUCGGGUUGUAAAGCUCUGUCUUCAGGGACGAUAAUGACGGUACCUGAGGAGGAAGCCACGGCUAACUACGUGCCAGCAGCCGCGGUAAUACGUAGGUGGCUAGCGUUGUCCGGAUUUACUGGGCGUAAAGGGAGCGUAGGCGGACUUUUAAGUGAGAGGUGAAAUACCCGGGCUCAACUUGGGUGCUGCAUUUGAAACUGGAAGUCUAGAGUGCGGGAGAGGAGAGUGGAAGUCCGAGUGUAGCGGUGAAAUGCGUAGAGAUUAGGAAGAACACCAGUGGCGAAGGCGAUUCUCUGGACUGUAACUGACGCUGAGGCUCGAAAGCGUGGGGAGCAAACA